rnacentral:piRNA from 1 species
UGAACUACAUAUUGAGACC